rnacentral:tRNA from 1 species
GGAGUUGGUAGUUCAGCGGUAGAGUACAUGCUCUGUAUGUAGGAUGUCCUGGGUUCAAUCCCCAGCGUCUCCC